rnacentral:misc_RNA from 1 species
UCCGGUUUGUCACCGGCAGUCCCAUUAGAGUGCCCAACUGAAUGUGGCAACUAAUGGCAAGGGUUGCGCUCGUUGCGGGACUUAACCCAACAUCUCACGACACGAGCUGACGACAGCCAUGCAGCACCUGUGUCCAGAUUCUCUUUCGAGCACUCCCGAAUCUCUCCGGGAUUCCUGGCAUGUCAAGGGUAGGUAAGGUUUUUCGCGUUGCAUCGAAUUAAUCCACAUCAUCCACCGCUUGUGCGGGCCCCCGUCAAUUCCUUUGAGUUUCAAUCUUGCGAUCGUACUUCCCAGGUGGAUUACUUAAUGCUUUCGCUCAGACACCAACAGUGUAUCGCUGAUGUCGAGUAAUCAUCGUUUAGGGCGUGGACUAC